GGGGAGAUGCCGGAGUGGUCGAACGGGACGGAUUCGAAAUCCGUUGUAUUCGCAAGAGUACCUAGGGUUCGAAUCCCUAUCUCCCCG
rnacentral:tRNA from 2 species